GCCUGGGGACGGCCCCAAGACCUUUCGAAGAACUGCGGGACGACCCGC
rnacentral:ncRNA from 1 species